GGAGGGGCCAUGGCUCAGCGGUAGAGCAUUUGCUGGGCAUGCAGAAGGCCCCAGGUUCAAUCCCCAGCAUCUCCA
rnacentral:tRNA from 1 species